rnacentral:rRNA from 1 species
CGCCCCGCAAGGGGAGUGGCAGACGGGUGAGUAACGCGUGGGAACAUACCCUUUCCUGCGGAAUAGCUCCGGGAAACUGGAAUUAAUACCGCAUACGCCCUACGGGGGAAAGAUUUAUCGGGGAAGGAUUGGCCCGCGUUGGAUUAGCUAGUUGGUGGGGUAAAGGCCUACCAAGGCGACGAUCCAUAGCUGGUCUGAGAGGAUGAUCAGCCACAUUGGGACUGAGACACGGCCCAAACUCCUACGGGAGGCAGCAGUGGGGAAUAUUGGACAAUGGGCGCAAGCCUGAUCCAGCCAUGCCGCGUGAGUGAUGAAGGCCUUAGGGUUGUAAAGCUCUUUCACCGGAGAAGAUAAUGACGGUAUCCGGAGAAGAAGCCCCGGCUAACUUCGUGCCAGCAGCCGCGGUAAUACGAAGGGGGCUAGCGUUGUUCGGAAUUACUGGGCGUAAAGCGCACGUAGGCGGAUAUUUAAGUCAGGGGUGAAAUCCCAGAGCUCAACUCUGGAACUGCCUUUGAUACUGGGUAUCUUGAGUAUGGAAGAGGUAAGUGGAAUUCCGAGUGUAGAGGUGAAAUUCGUAGAUAUUCGGAGGAACACCAGUGGCGAAAGCGGCUUACUGGUCCAUUACUGACGCUG